UACGUAGGGUGCAAGCGUUGUCCGGAAUUAUUGGGCGUAAAGAGCUCGUAGGCGGUGUGUCGCGUCGGUCGUGAAAACUUGGGGCUUAACCCUGAGCUUGCGGUCGAUACGGGCAUCACUGGAGUUCGGCAGGGGAGACUGGAAUUCCUGGUGUAGCGGUGAAAUGCGCAGAUAUCAGGAGGAACACCGGUGGCGAAGGCGGGUCACUGGCCCGGUACUGACGCUGAGGUGCGAAAGCGUGGGGAGCAAACAGG
rnacentral:rRNA from 1 species